GACGAACGCUGGCGGCGUGCUUAACACAUGCCAGUCGAACGGGCCCGCUCUCUUUUUUGGGGGUGGGUUGAGUGGCGAACGGGUGAGUAUCACGUGAGUAACCUGCCCCCUGCUCCUGGAUAACUGCUUGAAAGGGCGGCUAAUACGGGGUGUGCCGGCUGGUCCGCAUGGGCCUGGUCGGGAUAGUUUCAUCUUCGGGUGUUUCGGUGGGGGAUGGGCUCGCGGCCUAUCAGCUUGUUGGUGGGGUGAUGGCCCACCAAGGCGGUGGCGGGUAGCCGGCCUGAGAGGGUGGGCGGCCAGACGGGGACUGAGACACGGCCCAGACUCGUGCGGGAGGCAGCAGUGGGGGGUAUUGCACAAUGGGCGGAAGCCUGAUGCAGCGACGGCGCGUGAGGGAUGGAGGCCUUCGGGUGGGGAACCUCUUUCUCCGGUGGUGAAGGCCCUGUCCGUUGCGGCGGGGUUGACGGUAGCCGGGGAUGAAGCGCCGGCUAACUACGUG
rnacentral:rRNA from 1 species